rnacentral:tRNA from 1 species
AAAAAAUUAGUUAAAUAUAUAACAUCAGAAUGUCAAACUGAAAUAAUCAAAUUGAUAUUUUUUA